CACCGCCGGCCCCUUCUCCACCCUGCUCCGCUCUCCUCUGCCUCAGCCACUCCUCCCCCUGCCUAGCCGCUCAGCCUCCCUCGCUCGCACACAGAGGACACAAACAGGUCCAGCACAUAUGGUGACAACAUGAGCCAUGCCUCCCGAUCAGCAUACCUCAGCUCUAACUGGAGAGGUACAAGUUUAGACUUUGCAAGGAAAAGCGUGUCUUUUGUGCAUGAAGAGAAGGGAGGAGGGAACGAAGUAAAAAAACCUGAAUAGCAGCGUCUAGAAGUACUGUGGCAGCAAAUUCUGAAGCUGGAAGAUGCUGAUGAGGGAGGUUACCAUGACUACAAAAGCGGCAUAUUUGAAUAAAAAUUGUUGUUAAGUCUUUUAAAUGCUAAUUGUAAUUGAGGAAUGGGUGACAUCUAAAAUUGCAAACACUUUUCCAGUGUUACAACUUAUGCUUAGCGUAAUGAAAGGACUAAAAAAGGAUGACAAAUGUAAGCAUUGUGAAGUUAAACAGAAAGAAGUAUAGUGAUCACAUCUUUAAAGCAUUUUAAAUUAUUUACUUGUUCAAAAUAAUAAAUUAGUUGGGUACCUGUUAAAUGUAAGCAAAAAAGCAUAUGAGAUAGAAAGGUCAUAUAUAUUAACUUGUAAUUAUAUUCUAGGAUGGUGUACAAAAAAAGUUAAGUUUUAAUAAUCUAAUCUAAAAUCAUUGCUACUUAAAAGCAGUUUUCAAUAGACUACAUGCUAGAGACUUAAAUUUUACACUUCUAGCUAUGGAAUGAAACUCUUCCAUCUAGAGAUCCUAUGAUGUUUCAUAAACACUGAGUAAAUCUCAUCAUGCUCUACAAAUUACUUGUAGUCUAUUGGUGGGGAAACCAGGAUGAAAAGAUAUGAAGUGACAUACCACGUCAUUGUCAGGGUGAAGACUAGAAUCCAGAGCUCCUUAAGGGCAGUCCUGUACUCUUACUACUUGACAACUUUGCCUUCAUGGCAGCAGCAGCAGGAUAAAACUAGAAGUAUUUAUCAACAAGUUGCAUUUAAUUGUGGGUUGUACAUAUUAAGAAAAAUACAGUUUUUAACAUUACACACUAUCACCCCAUGAGCAAGAGAACAUCAGACCACAGAUCAUCUAGGUGGGGUGAAGUUUUGUGGGUGCUGCUAUACAUUUUAGUAUUCUCAACUGCAAGUGGUGAAAAAUUCCUUCUACUAUCUUUACCUUGUAACUUCAAACAUUCCUUUCAGAUGAGGACCUAGGAACUGUAAUACAUGUUAUCAAUGCUUUCAAGUUAGACUGUUUUAAUUCACUCUCAAUUCUCUAGUGAAAGACCAUGAAGGGUAUGUCUACAGCAAAAAAACUUGUGCCAUCUCACUUGGGUUAAGGAGGAAGGGUCUGAGAGCUGAGGUUCCUUCCCAAGCCUAUAUAGCUACGGUAUACGGUAGUGGCUCUUAAAUGGCUAUUUUGCCCCAGCCUAAGUCAGCUGGCACAUGCCAGCUGUGUCCAGUUGGGUGUACCAUAAGUGGCUUGCAGAUUUGGACUAUAUUUUGAACUCUGUGUUGAAGAGAAUGGGGUAUCAAUAAAGUUUGCAAACCGAUGUAUUCACAAUGGCCUUCAUUGUUUAUGAGGGAACUUGCUACUGUUUGCCCGAUCCACAGGUGAUGCAAAGCAAUGUAGAUCCAUAUCCUGAGUCUUCAACCCUUUUAAAGCCACAUAAUGAGCAGAAUCUUCUGACAAGGAUGCCAUUGUGACUAUGUGAGUGUAAAUGUCAUGGUAUUUCUCAUGUUCUAUGUACUUUAAUUUUAAGUACAGUGGUCGCUACAACUGAGCAAAUGCUGCAGAAAAAAAUGCUUUGCAAAUUUUAAUUCACAUUUAUAAACUAGAAGAUUUACCCAGUGUUGUUCAGGUCCUUAAUUUUUGUUGUUUGGAAAAUAAAAA